UUCCACAGCUUUCUUG
rnacentral:miRNA from 1 species